GAUGAACGCUGGCGGCGUGCCUAAUACAUGCCAGUCGAGCGAACAGACGAGGAGCUUGCUCCUCUGACGUUAGCGGCGGACGGGUGAGUAACACGUGGAUAACCUACCUAUAAGACUGGGAUAACUUCGGGAAACCGGAGCUAAUACCGGAUAAUAUAUUGAACCGCAUGGUUCAAUAGUGAAAGACGGUUUUGCUGUCACUUAUAGAUGGAUCCGCGCUGCAUUAGCUAGUUGGUAAGGUAACGGCUUACCAAGGCAACGAUGCGUAGCCGACCUGAGAGGGUGAUCGGCCACACUGGAACUGAGACACGGUCCAGACUCCUACGGGAGGCAGCAGUAGGGAAUCUUCCGCAAUGGGCGAAAGCUUGACGGAGCAACGCCGCGUGAGUGAUGAAGGUCUUCGGAUCGUAAAACUCUGUUAUUAGGGAAGAACAAAUGUGUAAGUAACUAUGCACGUCUUGACGGUACCUAAUCAGAAAGCCACGGCUAACUACGUG
rnacentral:rRNA from 1 species